GACGUAGGGUGCAAGCGUUGUCCGGAUUUAUUGGGCGUAAAGAGCUCGUAGGCGGCUCGUCGCGUCGACCGUGAAAACCCGCAGCUUAACUGCGGGCCUGCGGUUGAUACGGGCGGGCUAGAGUUCGGUAGGGGAGACUGGAAUUCCUGGUGUAGCGGUGAAAUGCGCAGAUAUCAGGAGGAACACCGGUGGCGAAGGCGGGUCUCUGGGCCGAUACUGACGCUGAGGAGCGAAAGCGUGGGGAGCGAGCAGG
rnacentral:rRNA from 1 species